GCCCGCGCAGGCUCAGACCCCGAGCCGAGGAGUUGGGCAGGGCAGCCAGGAGGGAGUAGGAGAGCGUGGAUGGAGGCCGGGUCGAAGGUCAGGGCCUUUUCGUGGCCGCCGUGGCACGGAUCCCUACUUGAACACUGCAAGUGACUUUUACCCUGGGAUUCAGAAAUGUCUACAGGACUGAGACUGGACCCGCUAAAGGUCCUCCUGUGACUCAAGACAUGGAGUCCAGAGUGAAAAGUCUAAGAGGUGCUCUGUGAAAUUUAGACGACAGAGGUCCUCUCAUAGACAUCACUAUGAACAAUUCUUGGUGAAUGAAGACUUAGAAAACAUCCAACUCAUUUACUGCUAUAGCUGGGGCUGAUCAACUAGAGACAGAGGCUAUUGUUAUUUUUUUUUGUUAAUAGUUUUAUUUUUUUUGUUUUAUAUAUAUAUUUUUCAUUUUUAUUGGAGUAUAGUUGCUUUAUAAUGUUGUGCUAGAGGCUAUUGUUAUUUGCAUGUUAAAUAGUUUGCUUCUCUAUCCAAUUUCUCCCCAGUUUUAUAUAUAUAUAUAUAUAUAUAUAUAGAUAUAUAUUUUAGAGUUGGGUUUUUAUUUAUUAUUAAAAACAAAAAAGCCCAGCCCUGCCGAGGCCUGGUGUCCCCUGGGGGAGCGUCCUCAGUCCAGUGGUCUCGGGGCCUGGGUAGGGGGGGCCUGGCCACAGACUCUCGCUCUGACGCACGGACUCGAGAGAUGACAACACUUUCUUUGUGUGAAUA